CCAGGGUCUCUCAGGAAAGUCCCCACAAAAGAGCACAGUGCCAAGGGACACACAGCAGCUCAGCCAGCCCACGUUUGCCAUUCUUUUCCCUGCUUCUUGGGGGUGUCUGAAAGGGCCUGGGGAAAGGAGGGGAGAAGCCCCCAGCAGCUGGAAGGCACCCAAGAAGGGGAUGCUGAGUGUCUGGAGCCACCUCUACCCUCAGACAGAGCCCCCAGGACAUGCAGCUGGCCUGCUCUUUGCCAUCCUUGCUCACCUAGAGGCUUUUGUUAGGUUGACUAAACCCUCACAGACCCCCUUUCUCCAUCAGCUCUCCUUCUUGAGGCUCUCUGCAUCCUUGGCCCCAGUGCUUGGCUUUGAAAAGCCUGUGUGAAUGCUGAGCUGGUAAGUGGUUCCUGGCUUGGUGAUGUGAGAACUGCUCUCUUUGGGUAGGAGUUUGGGUAGUAUCCUUUGUGGUAACACCAUCCUGGGAGGAAUGGGACAGGAGCAGCAAUGCUGGGGGCAAAACAGGGGCUGGAGCAGAUAUUUGGAGAGCAGCAGGAAAAGCCCAUGUGUGUGACUUGCAUUUACCUGCACUUACUUUGAAAAAGGUUGUAGCAAAGCCCUCUCCUCUUGCCUUGUAUCAUGAAGACCAACUUGAGAAGAGCCAUUGAAGCAAGAGCGUCCACUCAGUCACCAGAGAGGACAGAACUCUCCAGUAGUUGACUUUCUUGCUGGCAUUUGAGGAAC